GACGAACGCUGGCGGCGUGCUUAACACAUGCAAGUCGAACGGAAGGCCCUGCUUUUGUGCGGUGCUCGAGUGGCGAACGGGUGAGUAACACGUGAGUAACCUGCCCUUGACUUUGGGAUAACUUCAGGAAACUGGGGCUAAUACCGGAUAGGAGCUCCUGCUGCAUGGUGGGGGUUGGAAAGUUUCGGCGGUUGGGGAUGGACUCGCGGCUUAUCAGCUUGUUGGUGGGGUAGUGGCUUACCAAGGCUUUGACGGGUAGCCGGCCUGAGAGGGUGACCGGCCACAUUGGGACUGAGAUACGGCCCAGACUCCUACGGGAGGCAGCAGUGGGGAAUAUUGCACAAUGGGCGGAAGCCUGAUGCAGCAACGCCGCGUGCGGGAUGACGGCCUUCGGGUUGUAAACCGCUUUCGCCUGUGACGAAGCGUGAGUGACGGUAAUGGGUAAAGAAGCACCGGCUAACUACAUG
rnacentral:rRNA from 1 species